UUGAUUAGGAAUUCAUAACCCUAUAUCAUAUUUUGAUUAGGAAUCCAUAACCCUAACCAAAUUUGAUUAGGAAUCCAUAACCCUAUAUUAUAUUAUAAAUAAUAUUUUUUUUGGGAUUAUUUGUUACAAUGCAACUCACGGCUGAAAAUUUGUAUUUUUCAUUCUCUCUUCUGAAAUUUUUUUGCUCGCUUUAUAAUUCUGAAUUUUUAUUGCUCUCUUUAUAAUUCUGAUUUUCUAUUCAGUUUUUUUGGAUUUAAUUUUGUGAAUUUUUAUCUGGGUUCAUGUGGCUACCGCUUAAAAACUUGAUUUUAGUGUAUAGUUUGUGGAUUUAAAUUCAAAAUUCAUAAGGAAUUUUAAAUUCUAAUUCUUUGAGAUUGUGUAUUUGAAAUUUUUUUAUGAUUUGACAUUUAAAUGGAGUAAAAUAUUCGUGAACCAUUUUUUUUCCUUCACGGGAACUCCAAUAAGCUUGGUUCCCAACUAUAUAAAUUUGACAUGAAACAAAUGUAUUGUAAAGAAAAACUUAUUUCGUGUUUUCCUUUCUUAAUUAUAUAUAUGAAAUGAGGUUCUUAGUGAUCUUGGCAAUUGUAGUGUUAGGCUAAGCUAUUUCAUUUGAGCUGAGCACUAGACAGUGCAGAAUAAAUUCAUAUUUCUCAUGCCUAUUUCAAUUCUUAUGGUCCAUGAAUGCAAUAAUUUUUAUGGAAUACCAAUAACAGUAUACCAUUAUGUUGGGGCCUCUUAUGUGUGCAAUGAAAGUAACACUAUCAAGGAAAAGGCCUUUCCAGUACUCACACCCUGAGAUGAAUAGUCUCCCAUGGAAAACAACGCUCUGGUAGAACUUGGAAGUCUUCUUGAAGACAAAACUGCAAUUCAUAUCACCAAAAAUUUAUGAUUCAUAUGUUAGAUAUUGGGAUUGGUAUUGAUGGUGAGAUAGGUUUAUAUAGUAGAAAACAACAUUUAGAUAGUUUUGGUAAUAGUUGAUAUUAUUGUACAAAUGUUUUUUUUUUUUUUGGCUGCACUAUUGUAACAAUGAUUUACCAUAUUGAUUAUUAGUCUCUGGACUGGUGUCACUUUGGAGCUUUAGGGGCCUCUGUUGCUAUUGCUGUGGACUAGAAGAGUAGUAGAGAAAUUUGAUGGGACUGUGGGAAAUUAUUCAGUUUAUGUAAGUUUAGAUCAAUACAAGUCGGUGUUUCAAGUAGUGCCUAUGGUCCCAAUUCUGAGCAUGAUAGAUAUGUGGGUUUGGUGGAGUCUUGGAAGAGAUUUUGAUAUGAUUCCGUUUGAGAAGUAGAUUUGAUUUUUUUAAUGAUUUAUUUCAUGGUGUUUGUGCAUUAAGAUUAGAGUUUUUUACCCUUAAUAACUUCAACGGAAUCAAAGCUUUUAGAAAGUUUUAUUAUUUUACUUAAAAAGAUGAUUCCCUCUUAAAUUUGAUGGAAGCCAUGAGAUCAAGUUCAUAAAACUCUCUUAAUUUUGAUCAAGUGUGUAUGUCAAUUGUUUAUGAAGUGAAACAACUACUAUUGAUAAUGGUUUCAACAGAUUAAUAUAUUUUUCAUAGUUUGUCAACAGAUUAAUAUUCAUAGAUUUUAUAUUGCCAUGGAGAUCUGCUAGCAAAAUCACAUGGUAACAUACUUACAUAAAAAUUAAAUGAAUAAAAAUGUCAAUGUGUAAAUCUUCUGCAAAACAAUUGAAGAUUUCUUAAAUGAACAUGUAUAAUUAUGUGUGAAAAUGCUACACAUGCGAGGCUGUACUAACACUAGCAUAUAUAUAGUUUGAAUGGGGCUCUCUUGAUUUUCCUUAUCUUAUUGAGGUAAUUGAAAUAUUUGACUUUCUCAUCAUCAAUGCAGAAUUUCAUAGUAAAUUUCUUCUCUUUGGUUAUAUUAGUCCUACCUUUGUAUUGCUUUGUUCUGUUUAUUUUUUUAUUAUUUUUUAAAAUCAUUUAUUUGUUUCUUUUGUUACAAUUUAUAUAGUGCUGAGGUUAAGGUGUACGUGACCAUAUCUGCAUUACAACUAAUUUUACAUCAUGUUUUCCUGGCUUACAGAGGGCUGAGACCUUGAAAAUUGCUAAAUUCCCAAUACUAGGCUGCAUCAGGAAUAGCAAAGUUGGGGUCAAAGAUACAACCUUUUCAUCAAGCAACUUAUCAAGUGAACAAGAUGGUGAUUCUACAAAGUUUCAAAAAGUUGAUGUUCAAAGCGAUGAGCAACUCACACCAACUUAUCCCAAAAGGACAUAUUCAAUGACUACUACAAAGCAACAAAGGAAGAAGAUACAAAAAAACACAUUAAAAUUGUCUUUCAAUUUAUUUGAAAUAUUGAUUAAGUAGUUCUUUAAAUUUGGGUUUCAUUCAUUUAAUGGAUAAUUGAAGAUGCAAAGGAUUUGAUUUCUA